GGAUUAGGAACAGUGGUGCUGACUAUCUUGGCCUUUGUGCUAAAGCCUUCGCUAUCUGGAGUCUGCCCCGUGCAACACUGGAAGCCACGAUGGAGGAGCCUUGGGGAGCCCUACAUCCCUCCCCAAUAUGUGCUCAUCAAAGACAGCCUCCCAUUCUAUGAUGCUUUCAGCACUUGGGGCUCUGGGGAAGGACCAUCUACCAGCGAGAAGGAUAUUUUCCAAGGCUCAGGGGGGCCACCUCUGGUGAAGACUUUGGAGGACUUCAGUGUCCGCACUUUGUACGAUAAGCUUGAGGACCAGAACCUACACUUGGCAUCACAGCUGAGCAAGCACAGGAGUGAUGCUCUUGCCUUUUACAA